AGAACUUCCAAUUGUUGAGAUCUAUUAUCCGCUUUUACUGAGUAGAAGUCAUAGAGGGGAAUUUCAUCCACCUGCCACCUCAAGAACUCUUUCUUCCAUGUACCCAAGAUUCCUCUAGGUAACACAACCAAAGGCCUAGCUCUAUCAUUAUUAGCCAUGAAGCUUUGUAGGAAGCUGAUUAUCAUGAAAGUCUUGCCAGAUCCAGGGGCAUGAGCCAUGAU
rnacentral:misc_RNA from 1 species